UCUUAGGUGACCGAGUUUAAGUGUUAGACUUUUAAUCUAAAAACGGCAUUUAUCUGCCCCUAAGAG
rnacentral:tRNA from 1 species